rnacentral:misc_RNA from 1 species
UUCAUCAAGAAAAGCACAGCGGUCGCGGCAGAGCAACACCGCCGGAAGAUCGUCAACCUUGGAAGUGGCACAGCCCAUGUGUGAAGAUUGAUUUAAACAAGUAAAAAUUAUAUUAUUAGGGAAGUUGGGAUUUGGUUUUGUUAUAUUUAAUUACUGGAGUAGGUGGGAGGCGCAGAGAUGUAUACGAUGAAGAAGAAAAAGAAGAAAAGAGACGACAUGAUGGAGAAGCAGGGAUUGCGAUGGAGAUAGGAUAGAGAUUGAGAAGGUCCGUUUGUUUCCGGGAAAAUUUCUGUUAAGGUUAGCAGAUGCGGGGAGAGAUAAGGGAAAGGAAAAGGGUUGAGGAAUCUUGCCAGCGUGGAGUGUGUCGUCGUUUGUUGCAGAAAGAGAAAAUGGUAGAGAGAGAGUGUGUGUUGUGG